GUCCGUUUGUGAGAAGCUCACUGUUUCCUCUAUAGAGUAGAGAGAGAGAGAGAGAGAGAGAGGUGUACUGCACACAGAAAACCCAUAGAAAUUGUGAGAGAGAAGAGAGGAGAAAGGUGUACUGCAUUCUCUUCUUCUUUUACUUAAAAAAACCUCAUUUCUCUUCAGUUUCUGGAGGACGAAACCAGGUAGGUUUCUCUCUCUCUCUCUCUCUCUCUCUCUCUCUGUUCAUAUAUAUAUAUAUAUAUAUAUAUAUAUUCCCACUCUCUUGAGCACACGCAUAGAUGAUAUUCUCGUGUGCGUGUAAUAUAUGUAUGUUUUGAAGAUAUUAUCCCUUUUAUUUAAAUGAAACCCCCAUCACCAUGGCAUAGAUUUUGAGUACGAUUUUGUUGAGGCUUCAGAGAGCAAAGGUUUUUAUCAAAUUCUUCUAUUUCUUUCAUUCUUCUGUUUGUGUGAUGUUUUUUAGCUUUUCUUUUCAUGCAUUUAUUUUAUCAAUAUGGUUAUUGAUUCUUGGGUAAUUUGCGGGUUAAUCAAGGGGUUUUUGAUCAAGAAACCAUUAUCAUCAAAAGUAAGUUUUAUCUGCAUGUUGAUCUGUUUCCUUCUUUUCUUGAGUAUAAUUAUUUUAUUUUCUAUUUUAUUAAUCAAUUUAAUUUGUCAUUUGGAAUAAAGAAUCAUAUAUUUUUUUUCUUUGUUUUUGUUCAAAAAUUAUGUCCCACAGCACGAUUAUCUUUGAUGUUUGAAAAGAUCUAUUAUUUGCACCAUUCAUUUCUUGAUAAAAGUCUCCAGUGAAUAGUUUCUUUAUUCUGCUGUAUUUCAUUCCAUGAUUAAAAUUAUUUCAGUAUGGAAAUAGUUUUUUUUUUUUUUUUAAUUUAUUUGCGUUAAGAAAUGUAAUAAUUUUCGAAGGAAUUUAUUGAUUUUGAUGCAGUUAGAGGCUUUGGGUGAAUUUUGAAGGGUCUGAAGUGUUGAGAUAAUGUUAAGGCCAACGAUCAGAUCGAACCUCAAAGAUCAACACAGGGAUCACUUGAUUUCUGAUGCUAGUUCAGAGUCGAAAGUUCACUCUGUUAUUUUUGGUCAAAAACAUAAAAAUAGUCCAUAUUUUAACGUCCCUGGGGUAUUUGUGGGGUUCGAUCCUAAGAGUUCAGAAUCUGAUUCAGAGAGAAGCCCUACUUCCCCAUUAGAUUAUCAGGUUUUCUCUAAUAUGGGCAAUCCGCUUAAGCCCCGAAUAUCAUCAAAUGAGGUGCAUCAAAAGAGCUGGGAUUGUAGCAAAGUCGGUCUAAGUAUUAUAAAUUCUCUUUACAAUGAAAAUAAAUACUCAGGGAAGGUUAACCGGUCAUCUGAUAGUAAAAAUAUUCUUUUUGGACCAAAAAUGAGGAUCGCAAAAGCAAAUUUUCCAGGUUGCAUCGAUUCUCUUGAAGUUCCAAGAUCAUUGCCAAAAAAUGUUGCCAUUUUUCCAAAUGACAUGGCAAAACCACCCAAUCACAUAAAGGACAAUUCUGAUGUCUUGUUCGAAAUUGGAGGAGCCACAUUUGAGCCAGAGCAGUUUGAGAAAAAUCUUCACUCCUGUUCGUUAGAUUCCGGAAGGUCUUGGUCGCAUUUAACCAAUUUUGGAAACUGUAAGCCCAAACCGUUGUCUGGUAACUUGAAUUCCAAGAAUGCAAUAAGCCACAUGUUUUCAGAAUCAAAGUUAGGCGAUUCAUCUGAAUGGAAGCUGAGUUCAAUUCCGGCAUCAAUUAGCUGUGGAACUGGUUUUAUUGGUUCUGUUCCGGCAAGGGAGGUUGAGCUUUCUGAGGAUUAUACCUGUGUGAGAACACAUGGCCCUAACCCCAAAGUUACUCAUAUCUUUGGUGACUGCAUUUUAGAAUGUCAUGACAAAUUAUCCAACGUUUUCAAGGAAAAUGUAGAGGAAAUUGCAUUGCCUCAGGUGGCAGAAUGCUCUGACGUUUUUUCUUCUUAUCCCUCCAGCGAUUUCUU
rnacentral:lncRNA from 1 species